rnacentral:rRNA from 1 species
AUGGUCCUAUCAGUGUGGAAGGUGUGGGCUCCCCCGCGGUGCAAAUUUUUCGCAUGGUUUGUACUUCAAGAUAGAAUCUGGACAUCAGACCGCCUUGCUCGACGUGGGUGGCCCAACUGCGGGCUAUGCCCGCUUUGCAAGCAAAGCCCUGAGACGGCAGCCCACUUACUGUUCCAAUGUCGCUACACCCUUCGUGUGUGGAACGAUAUUCUUCGCUGGCUUGGCAUGGAUCACACUCAUGCUACUACUUGGUCAGCGAGGGGCUCGGUGUGGGAAUGGUGGAAUGGAAACGUAUAUCUUCGCUCUGAAUCCCCCAAGACGCUCGCCUCAAUAAUGAUGCUUAUCUCCUGGGAAAUUUGGACGGAGCGCAAUGCUAGAGGUUUUCGCAACACGGCCGCACCUACGAUGGUCGUCAUUAGUAAGAUAAAAGAGGAGGUGUCGCUUUGGGCGUUGGCGGGCGCCAAGCAUUUGAGUGUUGUAAUGCCGCGAGAGUAG